GCCGGGCACGGUGGCUUGUGCCUGUAAUCCAAGCGCCGGGGAGGCUGAGGCUGGCGGACGGCUUGAGCCCGGGGGUUCUGGGCUGCAGUGAGCUGUGCCGAGCGGGCGUCCGCGCUAAGGUCGGCAUCGAUAUGGUGUCCUCCGGGGAGCUGGGGGGCACCAGGUCGCCUAAGGAGGGGUGAACCGGCCCAGGUCGGAAACGGAGCAGGUCAAAGCUCCUGUGCUGAUCAGUAGCGGGAUCGCGCCUGUGAACAGACCCUGCAGCGCAGCCUGGGCAAGACAGCGGGACCCAGCCUCCU
ensembl:misc_RNA Metazoa_SRP Metazoan signal recognition particle RNA